rnacentral:rRNA from 1 species
AGCGCAGGCGGGUCGGCAAGUCUUUGGUGAAAUCCGGAGGCUCAACCUCAGGACUGCCAACGAUACUGCUGAUCUUGAGUACAGAAGAGGAAGACGGAAUUCCUGGUGUAGCGGUGAAAUGCGUAGAUAUCAGGAAGAACACCGGUGGCGAAGGCGGUCUUCUGGUCUGUAACUGACGCUCAUGCUCGAAAGCGUGGGGAGCAAACAGGAUUAGAUACCCUGGUAGUCCACGCCCUAAACGAUGGAUACUCGAUGUCGGGUCGCAAGGCCCGGUGUCCAAGCUAACGCGUUAAGUAUCCCACCUGGGGAGUACGAUCGCAAGGUUGAA